AUUGAACGCUGGCGGCAUGCCUUACACAUGCAAGUCGAACGGUAACAGGUCUUUCGGGAUGCUGACGAGUGGCGAACGGGUGAGUAAUACAUCGGAACGUGCCUAGUAGUGGGGGAUAACUACUCGAAAGAGUGGCUAAUACCGCAUGAGAUCUAUGGAUGAAAGCAGGGGACCUUCGGGCCUUGCGCUACUAGAGCGGCCGAUGGCAGAUUAGGUAGUUGGUGGGAUAAAAGCUUACCAAGCCUACGAUCUGUAGCUGGUCUGAGAGGACGAUCAGCCACACUGGGACUGAGACACGGCCCAGACUCCUACGGGAGGCAGCAGUGGGGAAUUUUGGACAAUGGGCGCAAGCCUGAUCCAGCAAUGCCGCGCGCAGGAUGAAGGCCUUCGGGUUGUAAACUGCUUUUGUACGGAACGAAAAGUCUUGGGUUAAUACCCUGGGAUCAUGACGGUACCGUAAGAAUAAGCACCGGCUAACUACGUGCCAGCCGCCGCCGUAACAC
rnacentral:rRNA from 1 species